rnacentral:lncRNA from 1 species
CUGCGACACGCGGUGGGCGGGUCCUGAGUCGCGACCCUGGUCCGGACCUGACCUGAAUUGCGACCCCAACCUGGACUGCUCCCCUGACCGCAACCCCUACCCCCGCCCACCAGUAUGGCCCGGCACGUGUUCCUAACGGGGCCCCCAGGAGUUGGAAAAACAACAUUGAUCCAUAAAGCCAGUGAGGUUUUAAAAUCCUCUGGUGUGCCUGUUGAUGGAUUUUAUACCGAAGAAGUCAGACAGGGAGGGAGAAGAAUAGGAUUCGAUGUCGUCACGUUGUCCGGCACCCGGGGGCCUUUAUCGAGAGUUGGGUUAGAGCCUCCACCUGGAAAACGUGAAUGCCGAGUUGGGCAGUAUGUGGUCGACCUGACUUCUUUUGAGCAGUUGGCACUACCCGUCUUGAGGAAUGUGAGUACGUGAUUUCUGCUUUUUGAACCCAUCUGCUCUUAGUGUAUUGUGGGAAUUGCUAGCCAUGGAAACAGAAUGCCUUUUGCUCUUAAAGGCCCCAGUUUUGCAUUUUACAAUUGAAAAGAUUGAGUCUUAAUAAGGAUAAACAACAUAAUUUGCUAUCACUCUGAGCUACAGAUAAAUUCCUAUAAAUUCAGUACAUAUAAAUAUUUUAUUUUGGAAAGGCUCUUGAUGCCCAGGUACCAACAUUCCCAAAGAUAAGUCUUUCCUCUGUCUUCUCACAGUCAUGUCUUAACCUGGUUUCACAGCACAACAAACAUUUAGGAAGAGAAAAUGUCAUUAUAUGAACAUAAUAGCCAGUUGUUAUUGAAUGCCUACCAAGUACUGUAAGCAGUUAACGUAUUAUAUUAUUAUAUUACCUUUUUU